rnacentral:rRNA from 1 species
UGCUAGGUGGAUUAGUGGCGCACGGGUGAGUAACGCAUAGAUGACAUGCCCUUUAGUUUGGGAUAGCCACUAGAAAUGGUGAUUAAUACCAAAUACUACCCUACGGGGGAAAGAUUUAUCGCUAAAGGAUUGGUCUAUGUCCUAUCAGCUUGUUGGUGAGGUAAAGGCUCACCAAGGCUAUGACGGGUAUCCGGCCUGAGAGGGUGAACGGACACACUGGAACUGAGACACGGUCCAGACUCCUACGGGAGGCAGCAGUAGGGAAUAUUGCUCAAUGGGCGCAAGCCUGAAGCAGCAACGCCGCGUGGAGGAUGAAGGUUUUAGGAUUGUAAACUCCUUUUGUCAGAGAAGAUAAUGACGGUAUCUCACGAA